UACGUAGGGGCCUAGCGUUGUCCGGAUUUACUGGGCGUAAAGAGCGCGCAGGCGGCUCGGUAAGUCUGCUGUGAAAUCUCCCGGCUUAACUGGGAGGGGGCAGCGGAUACUGUCGGGCUUGAGGCAGGUAGAGGAAGGUGGAAUUCCCGGUGUAGUGGUGAAAUGCGUAGAUAUCGGGAGGAACACCAGUGGCGAAGGCGGCCUUCUGGGCCUGUCCUGACGCUGAGGCGCGAAAGCGUGGGGAGCGAACCGG
rnacentral:rRNA from 1 species